CCUACGGGAGGCAGCAGUGGGGAAUAUUGCACAAUGGGGGGAACCCUGAUGCAGCGACGCCGCGUGAGUGAUGAAGUACUUCGGUAUGUAAAGCUCUAUCAGCAGGGGAGAAAAUGACGGUACCUGACUAAGAAGCCCCGGCUAACUACGUUCCAGCUGCCGCGGUAAUACGUAGGGGGCAAGCGUUAUCCGGAUUUACUGGGUGUAAAGGGAGCGUAGACGGCUUGGCAAGUCUGAUGUGAAAGGCAGGGGCUCAACCUUUGGACUGCAUUGGAAACUGGCAGUCUGGAGUGCCGGAGAGGCAAGUGGAAUUCCUGGUGUAGCGGUGAAAUGCGUAGAUAUUAGGAGGAACACCGGUGGCGAAGGCGGCUUGCUGGACGGUAACUGACGUUGAGGCUCGAAAGCGUGGGGAGCAAACAGGAUUAGAUACCCUUGUAGUC
rnacentral:rRNA from 1 species